CAGACGAUGCGUCAUGCAUAUCAAUAAGCGGAGGAAAAGAAACUAACAAGGAUUCCCUUAGUAACGGCGAGUGAAGCGGGAAGAGCUCAAAUUUGAAAUCUUCAAGGUUUUACCUUGACGAAUUGUAGUUUAAAGAAGUGUUUUCUGUUGAAGUUUUGGUAAAAGUUCUUUGGAAUAGGACAUCAUAGAGGGUGAGAAUCCCGUAUUUGACCAUUAUUUUCAGCUGUGUGAUACACUUUCAAAGAGUCGGAUUGUUUGGGAAUGCAGUCCAAAAUGGGUGGUAAAUUUCAUCUAAAGCUAAAUAUUGGCGAGAGACCGAUAGCGAACAAGUACCGUGAGGGAAAGAUGAAAAGAACUUUGAAAAGAGAGUUAAACAGUACGUGAAAUUGUCAAAAGGGAAGCGUUUGACACCAGUGUUGUUUUUCCGAAAAUCAAUUAAAAAUGGAUUCAUGCCAAGUUGUAUUGACCUUAUCAGCUUGCUUCACUCUUUUCCUGCUUUUUUUAAUGCACUUUUCGUUUAACAAGUCAACAUCAGUUUCUUUUGUUGUAAAAGGGUCAUUGGAAGGUGGCUUUCUCUUCGGAGAAAGUGUUUAUAGCCUUUGAUCUCUGCAAUCGGAGAGACUGAGGUCUGCAGCGUAGAUCCUUCGGGGUUAGAUACAUUUGUGCUAAGCUACAGCUUUUCAUAGACAACUUGUUGACUAUGUUUAGUCUUGUAACUUACCCGCUUAUGCUAUUUUACCUACGCUUAGGAUGUUGAUAUGCAUGACUGAUAU
rnacentral:rRNA from 1 species